CCUACGGGGGGCAGCAGUGAGGAAUAUUGGUCAAUGGGAGGAAUCCUGAACCAGCCAUGCCGCGUGCAGGACGACGGCUCUACGAGUUGUAAACUGCUUUUGUACCGGGGUAAAAUGCUCUACGAGUAGGGUUUUGAAAGUACGGUACGAAUAAGGAUCGGCUAACUCCGUGCCAGCAGCCGCGGUAAUACGGAGGAUCCGAGCGUUAUCCGGAUUUAUUGGGUUUAAGGGGUGCGUAGGUUGUUUUAUAAGUUAGCGGUGAAAUACCGAGGCUCAACAUCGGGGCUGCCGCUGAUACUGUAGGACUAGAGUACGGAUGCAGCAGGCGGAAUGUGUAGUGUAGCGGUGAAAUGCAUAGAUAUUACACAGAACACCGAUUGCGAAGGCAGCUUGCUAGGCCGGAUCUGACACUGAUGCACGAAAGCGUGGGGAUCGAACAGGAUUAGAUACCCUAGUAGUC
rnacentral:rRNA from 1 species